AUUGAACGCUGGCGGCAGGCCUAACACAUGCAAGUCGAACGAGUGGCGGACGGGUGAGUAAUGUCUGGGAAACUGCCUGAUGUAGGGGGAUAACUACUGGAAACGGUAGCUAAUACCGCAUACCAUCAGAUGUGCCCAGAUGGGAUUAGCUAGUAGGUGGGGUAACGGCUCACCUAGGCGACGAUCCCUAGCUGGUCUGAGAGGAUGACCAGCCACACUGGAACUGAGACACGUUCCAGACUCCUACGGGAGGCAGCAGUGGUGAAGAUUGCACAAUGGGCGCAAGCCUGAUGCAGCCAUGCCGCGUGUAUGAAGAAGGCCUUCGGGUUGUAAAGUACUUUCAGCGGGGAGGCGUUACCCGCAGAAGAAGCACCGGCUAACUCCGUGCCAGCAGCCGCGGUAAUAC
rnacentral:rRNA from 1 species